rnacentral:rRNA from 1 species
GAUGAACGCUGGCGGCGUGCCUAAUACAUGCAAGUCGAGCGAACGGACGAGAAGCUUGCUUCUCUGAUGUUAGCGGCGGAUGGGUGAGUAACACGUGGAUAACCUACCUAUAAGACUGGGAUAACUUCGGGAAACCGGAGCUAAUACCGGAUAAUAUUUUGAACCGCAUGGUUCAACAGUGAAAGACGGUCUUGCUGUCACUUAUAGAUGGAUCCGCGCUGCAUUAGCUAGUUGGUAAGGUAACGGCUUACCAAGGCAACGAUGCAUAGCCGACCUGAGAGGGUGAUCGGCCACACUGGAACUGAGACACGGUCCAGACUCCUACGGGAGGCAGCAGUAGGGAAUCUUCCGCAAUGGGCGAAAGCCUGACGGAGCAACGCCGCGUGAGUGAUGAAGGUCUUCGGAUCGUAAAACUCUGUUAUUAGGGAAGAACAUAUGUGUAAGUAACUGUGCACAUCUUGACGGUACCUAAUCAGAAAGCCACGGCUAACUACGUG